rnacentral:rRNA from 1 species
GACUGAGGCCCCAAGCGUUAGGCGGAAUCACUGGGCUUAAAGCGUGUGUAGGCGGAUCGUUAAGUGUCUUGUGAAAUCCCACGGCUCACCCGUGGAACUGCUGGGCAUACUGGCGAUCUUGGGCCAACUAGGGGCAGUCGGAACAAGCGGUGGAGCGGUGAAAUGCGUAGAUAUCGCUUGGAACGCCGAAGGUGAAAACAGACUGCUGGGGUUGCGCCGACGCUGAGACACGAAAGCCAGGGGAGCAAACGGG